AUAAUACUCCCUCCGUCCGGAAUUACUUGUCAUCAAAAUGGAUGUGUCUAGAACUAAAAUACAUCUAGAUACAUCCAUUUCACUGACAUGUAUUUUUGGACGGAGGGAGUAGUAG
rnacentral:pre_miRNA from 1 species